rnacentral:lncRNA from 1 species
UUUUAAAUGACUUUUAUUUUUUCCAUGAUAGCUGGUUUAGAGUGUUCUGUCAAUUUUCUACUGUACAGCAAAGUGAACCAGUCACACAUACCUACAUACAUUUCUUCAAGUCUUUUUCUCACAUUACCCUCUAUCAGCUCCAUCAUAAGUGACUAGAUAUCGUUCCCAGUGCUAUACAGCAGGAUCUCACUGCUUAUCAGUUCCAAAGGCAAGAAUAUUUGUUUUUCAUACCCACCAAUAAACAGGGUCUUCAUGUAGCACCUAAUACUUUAUGAAGAGCCCAAGGAUAAAGGACACGCUUUUAUUUAUGUGCUACUGUAAAGAAAUCAAAAGCAAUAAAAAGGGGAUGGAAGAGAGUUCCUGUUUAGUGGGUAGGAUCUCAGUGUGAGAAGAGGAAAAAGUCGUGGAACUGCAGAGUGGUGAUGGCUGCACAACAAUACGAACGUGCUUCAUUCCACUGAACUGCACGCCCAAGAAUGGCAAAAACUGUAAAUCUGAGGUAUGUAUAUUUUAUCACGAUAACAGCAGGUAAUAAACCAUUUUUUAAAAAUCACACUAAAACUCUUUGUUGUUUGCAAAGUAAAUAACUGCAAGAUGCCAUCUCCUACCGCUCUUCAUUAUCUACGUAAAGUAGGCUGCUCUGCUAUUUAAAGGUGACCCUCGCUUUCAGUAAAAUCUGAAGUAAAAAGAAAAAAACUAAAUCUCAUUUUCCAUUUGAACAACUAGAUUCACGUGGUAAUGAUCAUCAAGCAAGCCCUGUAAAGUCAGAUGAAGUCUGAGAGAGCAAUGGAGACUGCUUCAUCCUACUAAAGUACUCACGGCAUUGACAUGACCUGAGUACAGCUCACUAAUAGGACCUAUCUGUUCAUGUGGGGGGAUCCAUGCAAAACAAGGGGGUGGGGGAGCAAUAAAGGGCCGAAUUCUAAAGCCUUAUGAUUCAACAUUAGUAUUUUUGGAGACUUCUUCCAAAACGCUUUGGAUGGUAAGCUCCAGGGGCACAGGAUUGGUCGCACUCUGCUUUGUUCAGAAUUUACCAAAUAACAAAAGAGAUAAGCUUCAAGGAUCUACUGCACAGCACAGGGAAUAUAGCCAAUAUUUUAUAAUAACUAUAAAGGGAGUAUAACUGUUAAAAAUCAUACAUCACUAUGUUGUACACCUGAAGCUUAUGGAAUAUUGUAAAUCAAUGGAACUUAACAAUAUUUAAACACUUUAGUAAGUAAAAGCAAUUAGCAAGUAACAGAAACGAGAGAAGGAAGGAAGGGGGGAGGGGGGCGGAGAAGGAAAACUAAUAGCUUUAUAAACACAACCAAACAGGUAUCCAGAAAACUUGGGAUCUGUCAAAUCUAAACUGGCAGUUUACCAAGUAGACUUGAUUAUAAAAAGCUUUUUCCCCACUAGAGCCAUGCUCAGCAGAUAUGGCAGCACCAUUAAUAACAUCUUACCAAUCUGUCAUCUGUUUGAAAGAAAUAAUGGGAAUUUAGACCAUUUUAGUAAAGGUCAUCACAGGCAAUUAAUCCGCAAACCCUGUGCUUGGGGAUCCUGCUUGCUAACCUUUAGGAUUUCCCCUAUAAGAUCCUUGUCUAGGUAGCGAAUGUAAUUUCAAACCUAUUGAACAAGAUUCCCAUUAUUGUCACCAGUAAUUAUUACCCUGAGCCCAGUCGUCUCAUUUGUAGUAUAUACGUCAGAAUAAGGUCACUAAAAAUGCUUUAUCUGUCUUUAAGAUGUAUAGAGGGCCUUUUUUUCCCCCCUUUUCCAACCUCUCUUGUUUUUUGCGGUUGUUAGAAAUAGUACUACGGUUAGAGUCACAGGAACGCAAAGGCAUGCUAUUAUUUGGUCAAAAGCUCCCAUCCUAUAUUCCCUUCACCUAAGCCUAAGGAAAGUAAUCACAAGAGGCCAUUAUUAGUCAUUUGAAUGCUAUAACUUUUAAUUUCCAGAGGUCAAUUACUUUAUAUCUUCCUCUGGGAGGUUUCCAGAUUAAGAUUUAAUUAAUCUUAUUCCUUUGACCAAAAGACGAAGCUCUUUUAGACCUAGAAAAAGAAGGUUUCUUAGUCUUCUCUGGUAAGGAGAAAACCUAUCUCCUGAAUCCAUCAGAGUCUUUCAAAAAGGAGAAUCCUGAAAGUGGAUUUUGACUGUUUCAAUUCUUAGAAACACAAAUAAAUAAAAGCCGUGAGUCUGAAGCUUAGAAAAUGAGACUUACCAGGUCACAUAUAAAAACCUAUAGCUGGAGUUCCUAUCGUGGCCCAGUGGAAACGAAUCUGACUAGGAUCCCUGAGGAUGCGGGUUCCACCCCUGGCCUCGCUCAGUGGGUCAGGGAUCCAGAGUUGCCAUGAGCUGUGUCGUAUGUCACAGACAGGGCUUGGAUCCCGCGUGGCUGUGGCUGUGGCUGUGGCACAGGCUGACAGCUGUAGCUCCAAGUUGACCCCUAGCCUGGGAACACCCAUAUGCAGCAAGUGCAGCCCUNAAAAAAAAAAAAAAAAAAAAAAAAAAAAAAAACCCUAUAGCUAACUAAAAAUAAAAAGAUAUCCUGCGAGCAACCCCCCGCUUCCAGGCACACCAGGUAAUAUCAUUUCAACAGGAAGCAUGAUGACUCCGUUUCACGAUGCCCUGAUAUGUAGUGACCCAACAGUGCCCUCUCCUCGUAGCUAAAUAAGUAUUUACCUCCAUGCAGCUUUCAUAGAAGUCUCCCUUCCCCAUUCCUUCACACAGCACUUCUCCAGGUUUUCUGAGAAGUCUAAAUGAGUCCAAAUCCAUUGCUCAGUGAUGAAUAAGCAAAUAGCGGUGCUUUAACAAUUACACAACAUACCAGGGCAAUAACUGUCUUCUAAAAGUAAGCUUUUUUUUAAUGGCAUAGUAUAUAUUUACUCAACAGAGAGUAACCAGGUCACCUGUCAAUCACUUCCACAUUUCUCUUACAGCUGGCCCUGAGUUUGAACUUAGAAAUGAAGCGUUUUGCAUUUGCUAUCUUUAACUGUUUCUGCAACGAAUUCUAAGAAAAAAAUACAGGGAGACGACUCAUCAAUAACCAACAUUACCUGAGAACCUACAGGGUUUAUAGGAUAGAACCAUGGUCUUGACAUCCAAAUAUCUGAAGCAUUAUUUUGUGGAAGAAGGAUUAGACUAUUUCCUUAAAAACCCAAAGGCUAGAACAGGCAAGGACAGGUAAGGCCUUUUAGGAGACAGAGUGUUUGUGCUGGCAGAGUGCUUUCUAAUAGGCAAUUUCAUUGAACGUGAAUGAUGAAGCACGUUUCCUCAAAAGGUGGAGAGUUCGGUAUUGCUAAAGGUCUAAAUGUUGGAAUGGACAAAAUUCAAGAUGCAGGGAUACUAGAGAAAGAUCGCAUCAGAAGACCGUGUUAGAAGAUCCUCAAGGUUCAUAGGAAAAUGGCUUAACACAGAAGUCAUUCUUACUGUUAUGAGCUCUCCAGAAAGACGGUUAAAAGCCCAGAAGGAGUUUACAGAAUAAACAAAUUUUACAUCAUGUUACAGGGGGACAUAAGGUAGGCUCCAAACAGCUAAAAGGCAAUGUCCAGUAAGGAGAGGUUGUACCUAAUAAUACCAAGACAAAUUACGGGCCAAUACAACCAUUUACCAAAGCAAAGACAGAAAACCCAGCUCCAGUCUGACAAGGGAAGGUAUUGUUUGGUUGAUUCAAUAGAGUCAAAAAGGUCUGAGGCAUUCUGUAACUCCCAAUGCUAUCCACAGUUCUGAAAUAAAAAGCUGUCUUCAAAAAACACACUGUGACAACAUGAAUGGCAAGUCUCCAUAAACUAUCUGCCAGUACACACUGUGGCAGAAACGAUCCCUUCAAGCCAACUCCUUAGCAAAUAGUUAUUUGGGGAAAAGCACAACGAUGUUUCAGCUGAAGCUUCACAAAGCCACGAAGCACAGGUUCGGCUCCCCAUGUAACUUCCCCUUUCCCUACCUGACGUACUACCAUAAAUUUUUAACAUAACAUUUUAAGGGCUAAUGAAAAAGUUGUAAGUACUGACUUGAGCAGAAGCUUCUUCUCACUCAGAGACGCUCUGUUGAUUAACAAGAAGAGUGUCAUUUGGGGGCUGAGAAAGAAUCAGAUAUUCAUGUGUUGUUAUCAAGUUAAUAAACCGUCAAGUGGCAAUUACUUAAGGGAACUUCAACAAAGAUUGUCAAAGAAAAACAAAGAGAGAGAAUUCACCUGUAAUUAUCUUAAGGCUUAAAAGUUAAUGCUUAAUCCUUUCAAUGUAAACAAUGUAAGAGGAGGCCCUGCAAGAGAAAGUGAUAAAAUUCCACUGAGGUAAGUAAGAACAGUGACCUCACACCAACCUCUUGGUGUUUGUUCCCUGCACAAACUUGGGAGCUGUAGUCACGGGCCUACACCACAGCCACAGCCAUGCCAGAUCCAAGCCAAGUCUAAGACCUACACCACAGAUCACAGCAACGCCGGAUCCUUUAACCCACUGAGCGAGGCCAGGGAUCAAACCUGCAUUCUCAUGGAUACUACAUAGGGUUUCGUUACCACUGAGCCACAAUGGGAACUUCCCAUCUCACUUAAUUCUUAACAUACAAAACCUUAUUUGUCUAAAUUUACAGGUACAGAACUGAAGACUCCAAGAGUUUAAGUUACUUAUAGCAAAGUCACAAGCUAGUCGUGGCAGAGCUGUAUCUUAAAAGAGGUCUGUUUUAUAGCCUUCUCCGCGCUCAUCAUCAUUCCCCUCUAGUGCCAUGCUCAUGCCUACAGGGACUAAAAUAUCACGUGGGGAUUAAAAUAAACAACUAGAAUCAAAUGUAAGGGGAGAACUGUAGUAGAGCCAUGACAAAGGUUUAAGAAUGGAUGAGCAGAGAGGGAUGGCUGGAGCCCAAGUGGGGAAGUAUUCACGGAGAAGAGGGAUCUGAAUGGGCCCCUAAAAGAACUGCCAAGAUUUCAACAGGCAAAGAGAGACAGAAUGCUGUUCCAAACAUAGAGGAGUUUGAAUAGAAUGCAUAAACAAAGAAAUGUAAAAUUGUAGGGCUUACUGGAGACCUGUGAAUUGGU